rnacentral:lncRNA from 1 species
ACACUAAAACAUUCAAAGUUUUAGAGAUAUCUUUUCCCUGCAUAUUUUCCAAUCUAUUUUCCGGUGAUAAACGAAGGUAAGGCCACUGUUCGUUGAUCGUUGCAGCUAUGCUACUGCCGUGCUCAUCUUGUUGUUGUAUCCUGGGAGACAAUCGACUGACGUUUCUCCAACACCAAAGGAGCGGCCAAAUCUAUCUUAAGGAGACUGUCUAAUCAGGCCUCAACUACCAGUAUAAUAUUUCUAUUUAAUUUUUUUUUUCUGUUUUCCA